rnacentral:pre_miRNA from 1 species
GGGGGAGGCCGGAUCCUGGGCUGUGUCCUGGCGUCCUGUGCUCCGGGGCCAGCGCUGUUGAUUCGCGCUCCCGGGCCGCGCAACGCCCU